GCGGGAGAUGGCGGGCAUCUGCACCAGGAAGCGUUCUCCGCCACAUCCCGCGACUCAAAAUCGCGUGGGGUAGCCCCUCGUGUGGGUUCGAGUCCCACCUUCGGCACCA
rnacentral:tRNA from 1 species